rnacentral:tRNA from 1 species
GGUUGUGGCUCAGUGGUAGAGCGCCUGCCUACCAUGUGCAGGGCCCUGGGUUGGAUCCUCAGCACCA